rnacentral:rRNA from 1 species
CUGCUGCCUUCCGUAGGAGUUUGGGCCGUGUCUCAGUCCCAAUGUGGCCGUCCACCCUCUCAGGCCGGCUACUGAUCGCUGCCUUGGUGGGCCGUUACCCCGCCAACUAGCUAAUCAGACGCGGAUCCAUCGUAUACCACCGGAGUUUUUCACACUGCCCCAUGCGGAGCCGUGCGCUUAUGCGGUAUUAGCACUUAUUUCUAAGUGUUAUCCCCCGGUAUACGGCAGGUUAUCCACGCGUUACUCACCCGUCCGCCA